rnacentral:rRNA from 1 species
GAUGAACGCUGGCGGCGUGCCUAAUACAUGCAAGUCGAGCGAUCAGACGAGGAGCUUGCUCCUCUGACGUUAGCGGCGGACGGGUGAGUAACACGUGGAUAACCUACCUAUAAGACUGGGAUAACUUCGGGAAACCGGAGCUAAUACCGGAUAAUAUAUUGAACCGCAUGGUUCAAUAGUGAAAGACGGUUUUGCUGUCACUUAUAGAUGGAUCCGCGCCGCAUUAGCUAGUUGGUAAGGUAACGGCUUACCAAGGCAACGAUGCGUAGCCGACCUGAGAGGGUGAUCGGCCACACUGGAACUGAGACACGGUCCAGACUCCUACGGGAGGCAGCAGUAGGGAAUCUUCCGCAAUGGGCGAAAGCUUGACGGAGCAACGCCGCGUGAGUGAUGAAGGUCUUCGGAUCGUAAAACUCUGUUAUUAGGGAAGAACAAAUGUGUAAGUAACUAUGCGCGUCUUGACGGUACCUAAUCAGAAAGCCACGGCUAACUACGUG